UUUUCAUCAACAGUGGUCUCCCAUAGACGAGUGAAAAUAUAGUCUCAUAUUGACCGCGCCGUAUUUUGUAAUUUUCAUUGCGCAUCUAUUA